rnacentral:rRNA from 1 species
UACGAAGGGGGCUAGCGUUGUUCGGAAUCACUGGGCGUAAAGCGCACGUAGGCGGACUCUUAAGUCGGUGGUGAAAUCCUGGAGCUCAACUCCAGAACUGCCUUCGAUACUGAGAGUCUUGAGUCCGGGAGAGGUGAGUGGAACUGCGAGUGUAGAGGUGAAAUUCGUAGAUAUUCGCAAGAACACCAGUGGCGAAGGCGGCUCACUGGCCCGGUACUGACGCUGAGGUGCGAAAGCGUGGGGAGCAA